UACGGAGGGUGCAAGCAUUGAUCGGAAUUACUGGGCGUAAAGGGCGCGUAGGCGGUCCUGAAAGUCGGAUGUGAAAUUCCGGGGCUCAACCCCGGAGCUGCAUUUGAAACUUCAGGACUCGAGUUCAGUUAGGGUAAACGGAAUUCCACGUGUAGCGGUGAAAUGCGUAGAUAUGUGGAAGAACACCGGUGGUGAAGACGGUUUACUGGGCUGAAACUGACGCUGAGGCGCGAAAGCAUGGGGAGCAAACAGG
rnacentral:rRNA from 1 species